CAGUUAACACAAAUAAAAAUAAUACAGGCAUGUUUUCUUAUCAUAAUGAUUCUGGUCAACUUUUGCAAAUAUUAUAAGUUGUCGAGGUAAUAAAUAACAAAAUAGAUAACUACAAUAAUUAGAGUAAGAGUAUACAAUUACAGAGGUGGAAGAAAUAUGAGGAAGGAAUGGAUUGUAAGAAGUGGGAAGUGUUUGGGAAGUGAGAGAAAGAUGGAGGAAGAUUAAAAAUCACAGAUAAAUGUGCAGGAGGAGAAAAAGAAGAGCAAUUGAUGCUUCAUCCAAAGAAAGAGGAGGGACAGAAGGUAUAGAGGAGGGAAUUAUAUGAUUGGCACUGUUUCAAUCACUGUGAUAAGGCUAGCUUGGAAAUUGUUGCUGUUACUGCUGCUGUUGUAGAUUCUAUGGAUAUUGUUCAAAAGAAAUUAACUUAUUUGUCAUUGUAGAAGUAGUCACAAGAGGUGGGGACAAAUGAACAGAAAAUAAAAUAUAUUUCCACAUGUCUGCAAGAGUUAUAGCCAGGCAAUAGAGGGGGCGGCUGUAAUAGAAGAAGUAAUCCAUAGUGAAGGCGUAUGCUGAUACAGAUGUGUAUAAAUAUCAGCUAUGUUGGAACCUUCAUUAAAAGCUCCCACACAAUCUAGUAGAAAAGGGGAAAAUUGCUGCAACAUUGUAACGGGCAUAGAAAGAAAAAAGUAACAAAUUUCUGCAGUUUGAUCUUAGCAUCACUUCGCCUCCAAUCAUUUUUAUCAGAAUACAACAUGAAGCAGUAUUUCAGCAGCCAGUUAAUAAUUUUCACCUUCUGUUGUAUUGGAGUGAUAUUGUCUGGAGGAAUUUGGGAAGGAAAUCAUGAAAAUGCUGACAAGAACUUACUAUCAUUGAUCACCAGAGCUGCAGUAGCAACACGAGACAAUGCACUUAUGGCACCACCAAGUGGAUAUCAAGGUCGAAUGCCAUCAUAUUAUAUACGAACCCAAAGAGAACUCAAAAGAGAACCAAACUGGAUAUGGAUGCCAUCCCAUGGCUAUGUUCCUGUCCCAGAGCCUUCCAAUGUUAGAAGUUCUGAAAGUCGUGGUAGCACUAUUUUGAGAUAUGGUUAAAUAUGAAAUCAUCUUGGAAUAACAUGAACAUUUAAGUAACUGCUAACAUUGGAUAACUCUGUAUUUCUCUUGUUUCUUACAAUGACACAUACAUUUUGGAUUUCACAUUCCCACAUAAAAAUAAAUUUACAAUACCUCUAUA